CCCAGGCACUCCUGGAAGGAACCCAAGAUGAUCUCCAGAAGUUGGAUUUAGACAAUGUUGACAUCCUGGAGACACCUCUGCCCCCUGUGGGUGAAAAGCUAGAGGGUCUUCUGCGGCAGAAGCGCCUGGCUGCCUCUCUCCAUGGAUAGGUGAGCAGCAUUUGGUGGUCCCCAGACCCCCACAUGAUUCUGUGAAAUUCAUGGGUAACCGUGAUA
rnacentral:lncRNA from 1 species